UACGGGGGGGGCAAGCGUUGUUCGGAAUUACUGGGCGUAAAGCGCACGUAGGCGGAUUGUUAAGUCGGGGGUGAAAUCCUGGAGCUCAACUCCAGAACCGCCUUCGAUACUGGCGAUCUCGAGUUCGGGAGAGGUGAGUGGAACUGCGAGUGUAGAGGUGAAAUUCGUAGAUAUUCGCAAGAACACCAGUGGCGAAGGCGGCUCACUGGCCCGAUACUGACGCUGAGGUGCGAAAGCGUGGGGAGCAAACAGG
rnacentral:rRNA from 1 species